rnacentral:rRNA from 1 species
UGGGGAAUAUUGGACAAUGGGCGAAAGCCUGAUCCAGCCAUGCCGCGUGUGUGAAGAAGGUCUUCGGAUUGUAAAGCACUUUAAGUUGAGAGGAAGGGUUGUAGAUUAAUACUCUGCAAUUUUGACGUUACCGACAGAAUAAGCACCGGCUAACUCUGUGCCAGCAGCCGCGGUAAUACAGAGGGUGCAAGCGUUAAUCGGAAUUACUGGGCGUAAAGCGCGCGUAGGUGGUUUGUUAAGUUGGAUGUGAAAUCCCCGGGCUCAACCUGGGAACUGCAUCCAAAACUGGCAAGCUAGAGUAUGGUAGAGGGUGGUGGAAUUUCCUGUGUAGCGGUGAAAUGCGUAGAUAUAGGAAGGAACACCAGUGGCGAAGGCGACCACCUGGACUGAUACUGACACUGAGGUGCGAAAGCGUGGGGAGCAAACAGGAUUAGAUACCCACGUAGUCCCUGAGCGGGCUGGCAAGGCGCAU